rnacentral:lncRNA from 8 species
AAAUAAAAUAAGAAGUAGUAGAAGUAGAAGAAGAGGUAGUAUGCAUAGUAAUAAUGGACUGGAUUUACAAUGGAUUUACAUAUUUAAAGUGGGUAGUAGAAUUAAUAGUAUAUAUUAGAACAGCAGCAUCAACUGUGUGUGUGUGUUUGCGUUUAUGGGUGUUUGUGUGUGUGUGUGUGUUUCAGGUUAACUAAAACCAAUACCGUAAUUUCCCCUUUUGGGACGAGCAGGACAACACCGAAACCGUAAACAAGCCCUAAACUACCGUUGAGGAGAAAUCAUAUGACGCAUUGAACUGGAGGCGUUACUCACCUGCUACACUUCAGCCAGCCACGCGCCCUGCAUGAAGGGUGGUGAUAGGCUGUCGGUAAAGAAGGAGGCGUAAACCAUAGCGUCAUUAUAUGUCCUAAACUGGGUUUUUGUUGAAUAGGUCAUUUUUACGUAAGAAUAUCUCACCUAGUCAACACGUCGAAAUCAACACAUUUAUCGGGAAGGGAACAGCAAGACAGUUAGUGAAAAAAUUCCUAUCAUGGAGGUUACAGAAAAGAAGAUGCCCAAACAGGCCCAGCUGCUCUCUCUUGGCCGCAAGGACACCAGUCACCUCUUGGAAGUGUAUGUGAAGCGCAGCAUCAGUUUAAGUGACGGGACAUGUGAGGACCAGAGGUCACCAACAAAGCCUCGGAAGUGGGUGACACUGUCAGAGAAACGCAGAAGAGUCCACCGGCAUUCUAUUGACUCCUUGGUCACCUUAGGGCCCAGCAAACUUGACAAGGGCGAUGCUACCAGAACACCACCCAACGAGGGCUUUGUUAUACCAAAUGUGGCUCCUGUAGAAAUCCCAGGGCCUGCUGAUAUUCCUGAGAUUGAUGCGUCUACUGAACUGGAGAAUAAGUCUAAAGAGGGAAAGAAGAAGACCAAAAGGCCCUCUCUCUGGAAAAGUUUUCUGGGUUUCUUCUCGAAAAAGGGGAGUGACCAGAAAGAUGAGCAUGAGUCUGGUACAGAGACUGCUGGACAGUCACAAGGAAACAAAUCCAUAAAAAAGCAAUGGCGCUCCAUGAGGAGACUACCUCUGAGGAAAAUAAAGAGUGACAGCCCCAGAGGGUCUGUGAGGAGAUCAUCGGCUCGGAACAGGGCCAUCACUACAGAAAUAACUGGAGUUGAAUCGGUUGUGAGUGUGGUGCUUACAGACUCGUACUAUGAGAAAGUGUCAGAAGAGCUGGAGAAGAUUGUGUCUGAGGAGAAAGAGACAGACACAGCUUCUACAGAUGAGGACGUCAUCAAAAGGUUAAUUGUUCUGAUGAAGCAGCAAGGAGACGUCAUUGAUAACAAGCUGAAGGAGAACCCCAGCCUGAGCACAUUCUUCCAGAAGCUGUCCUACAGUACCUUCCAGCAGUUAGCUGAUACGUAUGUGGAGACAGAGACCCCUACAGGCCAGAGCCGCCAGACACCACACACUGUUGGGCCCGGGCCCGUCAAUGCCCCGGAGCUGGUCAAGCUGGCCUUCACUCUGGACUUCACAGCCAGGGUGGCCUGUCUCUCCAGACAAUCCACAGGACACAUCAUGGGCCUGGGCAACCGCUACUUAGAGGACCGCUUCACCCAGACACCAGAGGUUAAUCCAGAUCAGACGUUGCAUAACCAGGAUGGUCCUAAUCAUUGAUGCGCCACCACAUGCAAAUGAGACCAACUACUGCAGGGGAAAGUAAACAUACUCAGUACUGUAAUAGCACAUGUAGUGCUCCUUGGGACACAAAUAAAACCCAGAGGCAGGUCACCUAGGGAACACCACAUGACAGCCACUUAUGGUAGUCCUUGUACCAGUAAAUCUACACUAGGUAAUCUAAAUAACUACUAUGUGUACAGGUUAGUAAGUAAAAUAUAUCCACUAUGGACUGUCUGUAUUUACUUAUCUGAAUUAGUGAUAGUAAGUACUAUGUAGCCUACUGUAACUUGCUACAAGGUACAUUGGUUAUUUCCCUACAG